AUACGUAGGGAGCAAGCGUUGUCCGGAUUUACUGGGUGUAAAGGGUGCGUAGGCGGCAGCACAAGUCAGGUGUGAAAACUAUGGGCCUAACCCAUAGAUUGCACUUGAAACUGUGAUGCUUGAGUGAAGUAGAGGCAAGCGGAAUUCCCGGUGUAGCGGUGAAAUGCGUAGAGAUCGGGAGGAACACCAGUGGCGAAGGCGGCUUGCUGGGCUUUAACUGACGCUGAGGCACGAAAGCGUGGGUAGCAAACAGGAUUAGAUACCCUGGUAGUCCAUGCUGUAAACGAUGAUUACUAGGUGUGGGUGGACUGACCCCAUCCGUGCCGGAGUUAACACAAUAAGUAAUCCACCUGGGAAGUACGACCGCAAGGUUGAA
rnacentral:rRNA from 1 species